CGGAGCCAGGGGGUGGCCGGGGGUGGCCACGGCCACCCCCCGUAGAAUCUCGGCCACCCCAUUGGCCACCCCAAGCACCGGAUCACAGCGGUCAAAAGUUUUGACGGCUGUGGAAAAAUGCGGAACCUUUCUCGCACCGCUUGUACACUGACGGACCCUUUAGCCGCGCGCAGCGCGCACACGUCCUGUAUUUGAAUUAAACGGCUCAAGCAUGCCCUGAAUGCCUGUUACCACCUGACGCUUCGACCGGCACCUGCGGCUAAGUGAAGAAACCCAAAACAGAAAGAUUGAUCGAGAGCAGGACAGAAGAGUCCUCCCUGAGGAGUGGCCCCAGUGGAUCCCCAGAUUCCCACAGAAGAUUCAGACAGCGAGAGAGAGGAGCCUCCAACAACGAGUGGCGGCCCAAGGUACCUCCAGACAUUUCCAAAUCAAGAACCGAUAGAUCUUUAAGGACAGUCAUUGAAGUGUUCAGUUUUAAUGAUAUGUCACUGUUUGGAUUCUCUGUCUGAUAUGUGUAAAUGUGGCUCAAACUUGAAACUAAUCUUGCAGAGUCCACCUA